rnacentral:rRNA from 1 species
UCCAGACUCCUACGGGAGGCAGCAGUGAGGAAUAUUGGUCAAUGGUCGGGAGACUGAACCAGCCAAGCCGCGUGAGGGAUGAAGGUACGGAGUAUCGUAAACCUCUUUUGUCAGGGAACAAAGGCGGGGACGCGUCCCCGGAUGAGUGUACCUGAAGAAAAAGCAUCGGCUAACUACGUGCCAGCAGCCGCGGUAAUACGUAGGUGGCAAGCGUUAUCCGGAUUUACUGGGUGUAAAGGGCGUGUAGGCGGGACUGCAAGUCAGAUGUGAAACCCAUGGGCUCAACCCAUGGCCUGCAUUUGAAACUGUAGUUCUUGAGUGAUGGAGAGGCAGGCGGAAUUCCGUGUGUAGCGGUGAAAUGCGUAGAUAUACGGAGGAACACCAGUGGCGAAGGCGGCCUGCUGGACAUUAACUGACGCUGAGGCGCGAAAGCGUGGGGAGCAAACAGGAUUAGAUACCCGAGUAG